rnacentral:piRNA from 1 species
GAAAACAAUCUGGUGUCACAGGCCAUGGG